rnacentral:rRNA from 1 species
UACGGGGGGGGCAAGCGUUGUUCGGAAUUACUGGGCGUAAAGGGCUCGUAGGCGGCCAACUAAGUCGGACGUGAAAUCCCUCGGCUUAACCGGGGAACUGCAUCCGAUACUGGAUGGCUUGAGUUCGGGAGAGGGAUGCGGAAUUCCAGGUGUAGCGGUGAAAUGCGUAGAUAUCUGGAGGAACACCGGUGGCGAAGGCGGCAUCCUGGACCGACACUGACGCUGAGGAGCGAAAGCCAGGGGAGCAAACGGG